rnacentral:rRNA from 1 species
GACGAACGCUGGCGGCGUGCUUAACACAUGCAGGUCGAACGGAAAGGCCCUGCUUUUGUGGGGUGCUCGAGUGGCGAGCGGGUGAGUAACACGUGAGUAACCUGCCCUUGACUUUGGGAUAACUUCAGGAAACUGGGGCUAAUACCGGAUAGGAGCUCCUGCUGCAUGGUGGGGGUUGGAAAGUUUCGGCGGUUGGGGAUGGACUCGCGGCUUAUCAGCUUGUUGGUGGGGUAGUGGCUUACCAAGGCUUUGACGGGUAGCCGGCCUGAGAGGGUGACCGGCCACAUUGGGACUGAGAUACGGCCCAGACUCCUACGGGAGGCAGCAGUGGGGAAUAUUGCACAAUGGGCGGAAGCCUGAUGCAGCAACGCCGCGUGCGGGAUGACGGCCUUCGGGUUGUAAACCGCUUUCGCCUGUGACGAAGCGUGAGUGACGGUAAUGGGUAAAGAAGCACCGGCUAACUACGUG